CUGUGUCCAGUUGCACCCAGGGACGCAGUGGUGUCUGGCUCAUGGGGCCACGAGAACUUGAUGAAGCACGCAGAACCCAGAGCCCGUCCAUAGCUAUUCUUGCUGUGGUCGGGACUCAGCUCAUCUGGGCUUUGCCAUAGGCUCUGUGACUUUUGGCAAAUCCCUAGUCCUCUAAUCUUUCCUACUGGUCAGUGACGUGAUGCCUCCCCUCUUCGCCCUGCCUCGUCCCCCAUCCCCACAGGCUCAGUGUGGUCUUGGUGGGACCGGGUAGUGUUUCCAUGAAGAAUGAAAUACGCUUUCCUGAGCACACACAGCCUGCAUCGUCACGGCCCCACUCCCGUCUGAGCUCACUCUCUGCAGGACUCCCAAGGACAAAUCAUGGGCCGCCUCUUGCCUGUGAAAGCCCAGAGCGUUCAGAAUACAUGUGGGAACACUAAUGUUGCUGGUGUCUCCUGUUUAACAGAUGACAUCCCGAAAAAGAAGGUAGCGAGCAUUUUCAGGCCCCCCUCCCCUGACGUCCUCGCAUACUUGGACUUCAGCGUGUCAACCACUGGGAUAUUAGCGGGAGUGAAGGUAGGUCCUCUGAAAUCUUGUUUGCUUCAGCCCCUAGAAAUCAGGAGGAGUGGACAGAAAGGAUGUCAGAUGCAGAUUUAAACUGGCAGGUCCUUCUUAUGCAAAGCACAAAGCAACAAUAUUGCUUCUUAAGAUUUGUGUUAAAUACCAAUAAACGCUAAAAUGUGAUUAGCCUGAGAGUAACGCAUUUUCUGAUGCAUUAUGGUUAUGUCUAAACUUUCUGAUUUAUGACUGUCUAGCUUACAGGAACUGGUGGCUUUGAAGAAUCUCUUACCUUGCUGGGAGUCAAUAGCUCAAUUAAAAUUUUUCAGGCGGGGCGUGGUAGCUCACGCCUGUAAUCCCAGCACUUUGGGAGGCCGAGGCGGGUGGAUCACAAGAUCAAGAGAUGGAGACCAUCCUGGCCAAUGUGGUGAAACCCCAUCUCUACUAAAAAUACAGAAAAUUAGCUGGGCAUGGUGGCAGGUGCCUCUAAUCCCAGAUACUCAGGAGGCUGAGGCAGGAGAAUUGCUUGAACCCGGGAGGCAGAGGUUGCAGUGAGCCGAGAUUGUGCCAUUGCACUCCAGCCUGGGCGACAGAGCAAGACUCUGCCUCAAAAAAAAAAAAAAAAGAAAAAAAUUUUAAAACUUCAGUAUCCUGAAAUUUUGUUUCAAACAUUUUUAGUGUACCAUUUCUUGGGUAUUAUUUAGGUUAUAUGGGGAUUUGAGCCAACCGUCUUUUAAGGAAAUAAAUAUGAUGUUUGGUAGUUUGGAGCUAUGGUCUAGCCAUGUGAACAGCGGACACUGCCAUCCACCCUCUCCCCUCCUGAAUUUCAUUUCACUUUUUUUUUUUUGAACUUUAUUUUACUCUUAAGAUGUCACACGCGGCCACAAGCGCCUUAUGCCGCUCCAUAAAGCUGCAGUGUGAGCUGUACCCCUCGCGGCAGAUCGCCAUCUGCCUCGACCCCUACUGUGGCCUUGGUUUUGCCCUGUGGUGUCUGUGCAGGUGAGUGCAGGGCCCCUGCUGCCUGCCAGGUGGGAGCAGCUCGUGUGGCUCUUAGGAAUCUUGGCCUUCUAAGGCACCUUUUCUGGGUGCUCAGGAAGCCGAUGAGACGUGUGUGAGUGGGUUUGUUUGGGGAUGAAGUGGGUUGGAGUCUGAGUCUGAAAUUGAGUGAAAAUACAUUUUUCAUUAAAUACACUGUCCAUUAUCAGUACUUGGGAAGAAUCUGCUUGAUUCCUUCAAACACUAGAAAGUGGUGAUCUGUCUCUAGAAGUGAAUGCCUCUGGAGUGGUGUCCCCGGAUCCUCUCCAAGUGUUUGGAGCAGAGCUCAGAACCCGUGCCUGCCAUCCCCCAACCUUCACCCUGUGGCAUGUUUUCCACCAAACCCCCCCACUUGGCGUCAGAACAGAAUCAUGCCCCUGUUGUGGCUGGAAAAGAAGUGUUCUUGAGGAAGGGAAGAGUGGAGUGCCCAGGGUGCUGGGUGGGUGGGCGGAGCCUCACGAGCCUUCCCUCUCGCAGUGUCUACUCGGGACACCAAUCAGUGCUGGUGCCCCCGCUGGAGCUGGAGAGCAACGUGUCCCUGUGGCUGUCGGCCGUCAGCCAGUACAAGGCCCGCGUCACCUUCUGCUCCUACUCUGUGAUGGAGAUGUGCACCAAGGGCCUGGGCGCACAGACGGGUGUCCUCAGGAUGAAGGGGGUGAACCUGUCAUGUGUGCGCACGUGCAUGGUGGUCGCCGAGGAGCGGCCCAGGAUUGCGCUGACCCAGUCCUUCUCCAAGCUCUUCAAGGACCUGGGCCUGCCGGCCCGCGCUGUAAGCACCACGUUCGGGUGCAGGGUCAACGUGGCCAUCUGCCUCCAGGUGAGGUGCUUGGGGCCGGCGGUUCUCGAAAGCUGGCUGUUGGCAGCAUGGAGACCCAGUUUCCCAGUUGUUAAUGUGCAGUUUUGUACCCGCCUGAUCUAUUUCUCCUUCUCUGAGCCUUUGAUAUUUCAUUUCCAUGUAACAUUUUAGCUUCAAGGGUUUUAUUUUUAAAGAUAUUCUAUUCUAGUUGAAGAAAGGCUUAUUUGGAAAAAAACACAUUGUUUUUGAACAAUGACUAAUAACUGUAAGACUCUCUAAGUUAGAUAUAAAACACAGCUAAGUUCUUAAAGCAAGAUUGAACUUACUGUUUUAAGAUAUCUAGCAAUAUUAAAUUGAAACAUUAAUAAAUGUGGUAAUUUGUAUUGACUCAAAUUCAUUUCUGAAACCAUGAAAUGUCUUAUUAAAAGGAAGCACCAAGUUUCAGGCCAGGAGUGGUGGCUCAUGCCUAUAAUCCCAGCACUUUGGGAGGCUGAGGCAGGCGGAUUACCUGAGGUCAGGAAUUCGAGACCAGCCUGGACAAUAUGAUGAGACCCCGUCUCUACUAAAAAUACAAAAAUUAGCUGGCUGGUGGUGCGCGCCUGUUGUCCCGGCUACUUGGGAGGUUGAGGCACAAGAAUCGCUUGAACCUGGCAAGAGGAGGUUGCAGUGAGCCAAGAUCUCACCACUGCACUCCAGCCUGGGCGACAGAGCGAGACCCUGUCUCAAAAAAAAAA
rnacentral:sRNA from 1 species